GACGAACGCUGGCGGCGUGCUUAACACAUGCAAGUCGAACGGAAAGGCCCUGCUUUUGUGGGGUGCUCGAGUGGCGAACGGGUGAGUAACACGUGAGUAACCUGCCCUUGACUUUGGGAUAACUUCAGGAAACUGGGGCUAAUACCGGAUAGGAGCUCCUGCUGCAUGGUGGGGGUUGGAAAGUUUCGGCGGUUGGGGAUGGACUCGCGGCUUAUCAGCUUGUUGGUGGGGUAGUGGCUUACCAAGGCUUUGACGGGUAGCCGGCCUGAGAGGGUGACCGGCCACAUUGGGACUGAGAUACGGCCCAGACGCCAACGGGAGGCAGCAGUGGGGAAUAUGGCACAAUGGGCGGAAGCCUGAUGCGGCAACGCCGCGUGCGGGAUGACGGCCUUCGGGUUGUAAACCGCGUUCGCCUGUGACGAAGCGUGAGUGACGGUAAUGGGUAAAGAAGCACCGGCUAACUACGUG
rnacentral:rRNA from 1 species